GUCCAGAUGACGAGUCCCAAAUAGGACGAAAUGCGCAUCCUAGUC
rnacentral:hammerhead_ribozyme from 1 species